rnacentral:lncRNA from 1 species
AAUGAGGACAAAAGUUGCAGCAGUGAAGAGACAAAUGGGAUGGUACCUGGAUGGGUGUAAGAGUUAUGGAAAAGCUUAUUUAGCAAAGGUGAGAAGAAGAGAAGGAGGCAGAGAAGAGGUAAGAUUGAAGAUGAAUAAGGGGAAGGGGAAACCAAAACAAGGUUCUGGAGUCAGGCAGAUCUAGGAGGGAAAGUUCAAAGAGAGAGAUUAACCUUAGCAAGCAGUAGACUGGCUUUUCUUGUUUUGGUGACUGAUGAGACUCUAAAAAAGAUGCUUUGUAUGGAGAAGAAGAGGGAGUAGUCAUACCAGGAGCAAUCUUCAUCUUGUCCUAGAAUAAGAGUUCUCUGAUUCAUAGAUCUCAGGAGGUCUGUGAACUUAGAUGGGAAAAGAAAAUGGCAUCUUUAUUUUUACUAACCUCUAGCUGAAAUUUAUUAUUUCCUUCAAUUAUUUAAAAAAUUAUUCUAAGAAGAGUUUCAUGAUUCCACUAUAUUGUUGAAGGGAUUCAUGACAUAAAAAGUUGAGAACUUCUGAUAUAGAAGAAGAAAUGGGAACAAUAGCCAAGAAGUAGGUUAACAAACUCACAGAGGUCCAGGGAAAAUCUCUCCUGAGACAGCUUGCUGACAAUCUAGAGAGGGUAACUGAGGGGAACCAGUGACCUGGUAUAUCCAAGAUUCUGAUCAGUUGGUUGUUGAGGCAACUGUGUCUUGUAUGCUGUUCUUUUUCUAUCUCCUCUCUCCCAAAGAAGAGAAUCAAUUUUGUUUUAUUUGUCCAUCAUUCUUUCCCCUCUCCUCCCUCUGUCUCUCUGUCUCUCCUUUCCCUCUCCUCCUCCUCUUCCCUCCCCUUUCCCUUCUCUCCCCAACCCACAUACUCAUUUUUGAUGAUAUCUGUGGGAUAGUGAUAGAGAAAAAAAAAACAAUUAUAUCCUCUGUUGCCAAAGCUCCAAGCAACCUGCAUUCAAAGGCAAAGAAUUGGAAACUGAGGACGUUUCCAUCAACUGGGAAUGACUGAACAAGUUAUGGUAGGUAGAUGUCAGGGUAUCCCGUUGCAGUGUAAAAAAGUAAUCAAAGGGAUAGUUUCAGAGAAACCUGAGAAAUCUUAGAUGAAUUAAGGCAGAUUGAAGAUAGCAGAGCCAGGUGAGCAAUUUCUACAUUGACAAUAUUGUAAAGACAAACAACUUUGAAAUAAUUAGGACUCCUCAUCAAUAUAGUGACCGAUCACCAAUCCAAAGGACUCAUAAGAAACAUAUUAUGCACCUCCUGAGAUGAAUGAGACAUCUACUUUUUUUUGGAUGCAGCCAAUGUGGAAAUUUCUCUUGUUUGACUAUAUUUGUAAG